rnacentral:misc_RNA from 1 species
AUUUGCGUAAACCUGCAUAUAAAAUCCUAGUGACCUUCAUCGUUAGUUGGUGCAUGUUGAAGCCUCAUGUGUUUUAAUAUUUUAUUUUCCGCCUAAAUAAAAAAACUCAAACAUGUGUGUGUGUUUUUGUGAUUUAAUCCAAAAUCUUUUUCUUGGCACAAUUAGGUCAGAUUUCUGAAAUUAGUAGAAAUAUUAUCCAAAUUUUUAAAUUAAUUUGGGAAAAGUGUGCUUCAGCUGACAUGGCCAACCAGCUAGAUUAUUUUAGUAUAAAUAUGUGAGAGCGAGGCCCACAUGCCACAUCAUUAAAAUGAAAAAAAAAUUCUAGCCAUGGUUUCUUGUUAUUGAUCUUGAUUAAUCAAGGAUAAAAUUGUAAUUUCAUAUGAAAAAUAAUCUGAGCUCUUAAUUAAAAGCACAAAUUAUUAAAUCAAAUGCCCAUUUCUUUAUACCAGGGCAGCCUCCCAACACCUCACAUAUUUCUGUCCACUUCCUACCACAACUGCAAACACCAUUUUUUCCCAUUUUCGACUUUUUGUCACACUUGAGCUCAAAUGAUUGCAAAACGAAGGGAGUGAGAAACCAGAAACCAUAAAACCUCCAUUUCCACUGCAUUUGCAUCACAUUUCGCCAUCAAAGCCAACAAACUGAAACCCAAGCCCAAAUUUCAUUAAUUUAUUUCUUAUUCAUCCAUCUGGAGCUCACAAAACAUUAAAACACAAACACUUUUAUCUGAAAUCCAGUUUCUAAUUUGUUUUACCGCAAAUUGCUUUUCAUCUGUUUUUCUGCUAAUUGAUGCUGAAGAGGGAAGGAAGAUAGGGAUUCCUUGAACUUGAUAUCACAGAAGAAGAGUAUAGUGUAGGAUAUAGAGGAUUUGUCGUGGUUGUUGAGGAUGAAGGAGGAGGUGAGGAGAGAAAACUUUCUGUUGAGGUCUUGGAGGUGGAGCUCGU